rnacentral:lncRNA from 1 species
UCUCUCUCUCUCUCUCCUCUUUGCGCCGCCUUCAUCUCCAGCGAGCAGCCGCCGACCAGCUCCAUCUUCUCCAGCCCGACGUCGCCCCUCAUCACCUCUCUCUUGCUUCCAGCUCGACGACGCCAACAACAACGCAUCCGAGGUAGCAGCGCCGCCGCCCGCGGCUCCCCUGCUCGUUUCCUACCCUCUCUUGCUUCGUUUCUCCCUCGACAACAACAACACCCACACAUUAAGCCCCCAAAUUAAAAUCCACAAUCACCAACCCCAUUAAAAUCAAGCACGAAGGAAUCUCAUGAAAAAACAAAAAGACCCGAUCCCCUUCUUUGGCAAAUCGUAGGUGCCGUCAAAAUCGGCAAUGCAACCGUCGAGGAAGGGCGAGUCGGCGCCGCCUAAAAGCCCUAGCCCCCAAACCACCGUCGACCACCACCCUCAGAUUUAGCCGUUGACACCGCCGAAAGAGGCCAUAGUCCAAAGUCCAGAUGGGCGGUCGUGGUCUUGAGGCGGUGGCGGAUCUGGAGGCCGACGAAAGGGAUGCGGCAGCGUGCGUCCUGUUCCGNUUAAUUUUUUUGUUUAUAAUAUAUAUGUAUUUUAAAUCUCAUCUAACUUUAAUUAUUACAAGAACGCAGUGAAAGUGUGUGUAUUCAAAAUGAUUUUAUUUAAAAAAAUAUUACAAACAUUUAAAUUUAAAUUCAAAAAAAUUAUAUGCUUAUAGUAAGAAAUAUUAGUGAUAAAUAAAAAAAAAUAGAAAAAUAUUUAAUGGUGUUAAGUGUCCGUUAAGAGCAAGGGGCAUUUUGCACUCUUUAUGACAUGUUGAGGGGCUAACAGCCCAAAAUCAAAAGAUAGGGAGGUAAAUGUGUUAGGGGGUUGUAUGAUAGAGGGCUAUUUGCUACUUUUCCCUUUUUUUUAGGGAAAUUAUAUUAUUCUUUUUGAAAGACUAUAAAUUUGAAUUCUUCAAAUGUCCACGUAUUCAAACUACACGAAGUAUAUAUACCAAAAAAGGUUAAUUGUCUGUAAAUUAUUUUCACCAAAUUCUAUAUUGCAUACAAAUUUUUAAAGGUACGUAACAUGAUAAUUAUUAAACUUUUAUUACAUUCUGAUUUUGCAUACAAUAAUUUUAAGAUAUAACGUGACAAUUACUGAACUUUCAUAGCAUUCUAAUCUUACAUACAAACUUUAAAAUGUAGCGUGAUAAUUAAUGAACUAUUGAUUUAUGGUCAUUGAUAUGUCGUGUUCGGCUCCGUGGUGGGCUUUUGCAUCAUACCUUUAGCUGUUGUCCCGGGUGGUAUUUUAUUCUUCCUUCUGGGAGCAGUCGUCUUUCUGCGGAUAGUUUUUCUUCGCUGUUUUUUGAGGUGGCACUUUUGGUUCUUUGGUCGAGCAGUUAGUGGGCGUCAAUGUUGUUUGCAUUUGUUAUUUUCGUUCUUCUUUUUUUUCUUCAGUUUUUCUGUUACCGAGCCGGGGUUAUUUAGGGACGAUGGUCCGGCCGGAGUUUCUGAAAUAAUCUCAACUCAGCUCGUUAACAGGGUUUGGUAGACGAGUACUCUUUUUCCUAACUGAGGCUUUUCCCUCCCGGGUUUUCCUUAGUUAGGUUUUAAUGAGGCUCGGUCCUUAGUCUGCUUCUUGUGCUUUCAAGUGUUUUUGGUUUUUUCUUUUCAAUAAAAUCUCAUUUAAUAAUGAACUAUUGAUUUAAUCUGAUUUUACUAUCAAUAUAGAUUUCGACCAAAUUUAAUGUUGAAAUGAGCUGAAUAAUUUACGUGGCAUACUAGGUGAGGGAAUAAAACGACGUAAGUGAUGGCACAUCGCAACCACUAGUCGAAAUUAUGUAAAAAUUAAAUUAUUCGGCUUGCCAUAUCAAUAGUAAAUUGGUUGAAAUUUCGACUGGUAGAUUUUAAAUCAAUAGUUUGAUAAUUACCAAGCCGCUAUUUAAAGUUUGUAUGCAAAAUCAGAAUUUGGUGAAAGUUCAUUAUUACCCAUGCUCCCUUUUAGAGAUUUUACGCUACAUUUUAAAUUUUAUAUGCAAAAUCAGAAUUUAAUGAAAAUUCAAUAAUUACCAUGCUACCUUUUAAAGUAUGUAUUCAAAAUCAAAAUUUAAUGAAAGUUUAAUAUUUUACAUAUAAUUAACUCCCCUCCCCCAAAAAAAAAUAAAAAAUAAAAUUAAAACUACAUGAAUUACAUGGGUAAAUAACUUGCACAAACUAAAGAUAAGAAAGUAAUUUUACGGGAAAAUAGCUAAAUUUCCAUAACUAAAUAUGAAUGAAACAUACUUGCAUGGCCAUUUUGAAGAAUGAAACAAAAUAUUGGUCAUUAAUUAAGAAAACACAAAAUUUGACCAUUUUUUUACAUUUUAGGACUAUUUUGCCCUUAAUUAGGCGGACCAGAUUUAGGUCGGAUUCGGGUUUGCUAGCGGGUUAGGCACAUAUGGCACUAUUAGUGCCAUUAGUGCCAUAUACUCAGUGCUGCACAAAUGGUACUUAUGACCAUAUUAGUGUUAUUAGUGACAUAUACUUGUGUGAUGAUAUUAUUUAGAUGGAUACAGUCAUAUGACCAUUUUGAACACUUCCUCGUAGGGUUUAGAUUAUCCAUUUAGGAUUUAGAUUCUCCAUUUAGGGUUUAGAUUAUCUGUUUAGGGUGUUGUACGAAUGGUACUUAUGGUCAUAUUAGUGUCAUUAGUGUCGUAUACUCUCUCUUAUGUAGUGUUGCACAAAUGAUACUUAGGGCAUCCACAAUGGGGGCUCGAAAAUGGCAUCGAGCCACCCAAAUCCGCACCCUCCCCCAUUGUCGCUCCCCCAUCUCGCGAGCCCGCCUCCCCUCUCCGCAUCCGGCUCAAACUGGAAAUGGUUGGGCGCGUCUCCAACACCGCUCAAUCACAAAUUCGGGCAAAAUUAAAAAAAAUAAAAAAAAAUUCCAUUGAUCGUUGGAUAAGCAGUCGUUGCUCAACGACUGUUUUCUUUUUCUUUUUUAAUUACUUCAAUUUUCCUCUAUAUAUAUCCCACACUCAUUUUUCUUCAUUCAUUUCUCUCAAAUCUAAAAAAAAAAAAUGUCAUCAACCAACGAUUCUUCAAAUCAUUCUUCCACCAAUUCUUCAUCUGAUGGAGAAGUUCCAAACCCACAAUUUCCUCCUCUUCCCGAUCCUAUGCAAAAUCCAGAAGGAUUUUUUAUGAGUCUUGCUGCAAAUUUCAUGCAAGUGGCGAAUUCGCCGCCUUUCUGGCCCAAAACGCAAAGUUGAAGGACAGUCGACUGCACGCUCGCCUCCGCGAUGAUUUAAUCAAGCAUAUAUGGGCACGCUUUGGUCCCGUAGAGCCAUAGCUCGUAAAUUUAAUUUUAUCGAAAUUAAUGUAAUUUUCCAUUAUUGUUCGUUUUUUUUAUUAUUUAAUGUAAUUUUGAUUUUUAAUUUAAUGAAAUUUGAGUUGUUAAAAGUAAAGUUAAUUUUAAUUAAAAACAUCAAUAAAAUUAAAUGGGAAAUGAAAAUACAAAUUAGAGAGCCAAGGGAUGGGCUCUCCCAUUGUGGAGAGUGGGCUCUUAAAUGGUGGGGGGGGGGGGCACAUUUAAGAGCCCGCCUUGGCUCUCCAUUGUGGAUGCUCUUAUGACCAUAUAUUAGUGUCAUUAGUGCCAUAUACUUAUAUUAUUUUUUUUCCCCCGGUUGGCUCAUAUGGCACUAAUAAUGCCACAUGUGCCUAAUCCGAAUUCGACCCAAAAUUCGAUCCGCCCUAAUUAAGGGCAAAACAGUCUUAACACUUAAUAAAUGGCCAAAUUUUGUAUUUUUUCAAUUAGUGGUCAAAUAUUGUGUUUCCUUAUUCAAAAUGGCUAUUUCAAAAGCGCUCUCAAUAUGAAUUAUAUACCUCCCACUAUUUAUAAAAACUGUUUUGACAUCAUAUACUAUUAAGCCUACCAUCUACAUAAAUCUUGACAAGAGUUAAAAACUUAAAAUACGAUACAUUACAUAUAAAUUUUAUUCUUAUUCAAUAAUAUAGAUUAUGAUCGACACAUCCAUGAAAUAUCUAUUAUAUAAUAGGAUUAAGCCUUAACCUAUGUGGCAUAUCUAAAAUCUCACCAUUUCAAAAGUUACCAUAUAUAAUCUUCAUCAUUUAUUAAUUAAUUAACUACUACAUUCUAUAUAAAGAUUCAUUAAUCAUAAUAAAUAUAAUUAAUAAUAAAUGUAUAUAUAUAUAUAUAUAAUAAUAUUAACAUUACAUAUAAUCUAAAUUAAUAAAUUUUAUUAUUUAUUUUUCUAGAUAAAAAUUAGAUUUAUAUGUCUGAUAAGAAAAAAUUAUAAUCUAUAUACGAUAAAUUAUUUUAAUUGAAUGUUAGUGAUUAGAUGUAUAUUUGUUAUUAAUUUUAUAUUUCUCAAUAGCAUACAUAUUAUAUGUAUAUAUUGUGUGUGUUAUAUGUAUAUAUAUAUAUAUAUAUAUAUUAUUUAUAUUCUUAAUUUUCAAUAAAAUUAAUUUUAAAUUAAGUUUGAAUUGAGACAUGCACGUAUAUGUAAAUUAUAAACGGGUCCGGUCAUUGAUUUACAUGUUUGCAUAAUAAGGCACAAAUUCUAUAAACUGAUUAAUUUAAAACAAAAUAUUAUUUUAUGUCUAUCAAAAUAAUUAAAAUUUUAUUUUUAUUUUUUAUAAAAUAAAUUCAUACAUUUUAUUUACAUAGGGAAGAAAAAUAUAUUUUAUUUAUAUAGAGCAGAGGGCCAGAGCAGAGCUUCCAGAGCAGAGAUUCCAGAGCUAAGUCAUUAAAGUCAGAGCCAGAGCGAAGUCGCUAGAUCCAGAGUCAGAGCUAAGUCAUUAGAGUCAGAGCGCCAUCUUAGGCCUUAGUUAAUUGCAUACCUACAUUCUUAAUCGUCGCUUUUUCGAUAUUUAUAAGUUUUAAUUGCAUACCUAGAUUUUUAGCUAUAAAUUCCUUAGUUAAUAAUGAUUUACGCUGCAUCGUGUUUUUUCAGCCAAUACAAGGUACUUUUGUUCUUCUUUUGCUGUGUUUAGGGAGCAAAGCAAACCUUUUGCUAUGUAAUUUUAGUGCUUCGUAUUUGAAUAAAAUUUGUUUCUGACUUGUGAAAGAUAUGUUAUAAGCCUUUCGACGGAAUAUGUAAAUUACAGUUGAUUGGGUCCAUAUAUACCAUUUUGAGUUGCCAGAGUAAAGCUUCUAGAGCAGAGCUUCCAGAGCAGAGUUGCCAUAGCAGAGCUUCCAGAGCAGAGCUACCAGAGCCAGAGCUAACCAGAGCAGAGCUUCCAGAGCAGAGGGCCAGAGCCACGUUGCCAGAGCCAGAGCUAACUAGAGCAGAGUUGCCAAGUAGAGUUGCCAGAGCAAAGCUUCCAGAGGAGAGCGGCCAGAGCAGAGUUGACAGAGUAGAGUUUCAGAGCAGAGCUGCCAGAGCCAGAGCAGAGCUUCCAGNAGCAGAGAUGCCAGAGUACAGAUGCCAGAGCAAGAGAUGCCAGAGCCAGAGCAGAGCUAGCCAGAGCAGAGUUGCCAGAGCAAAGCUUCCAAAUGAGAGCUGUCAGAGCAGAGUUGACAUAGCAGAGCUUCCAGAGCAGAGCUGCCAGAGCCAGAGCAAACCAGAGCAGAGGGCCAGAGCCAAGUUGCCAGAGCAGAGAUUCCAGAGCUAAGUCAUUAAAGUCAGAGCCAGAGCCAAGUCGCCAGAUCCAGAGUCAGAGCUAAGUCGUUAGAGUCAGAGCCAGAGCCAAAUCGCCAAAUUAGGCCUUAAUUAAUUGCAUACCUACAUUCUUAAUCCUCGCUUUUCCGAUAUUUAUAAGUUUUAAUUGCAUACCUAGAUUUUUAGCUAUAAAUUCCUUAGUUAAUAAUGAUUUACGCUGCAUCGUGUUUUUUCAGCCAACACAAGGUACUUUUGUUCUUCUUUUGCUGUGUUUAGGGAGCAAAGCAAACCUUUUGCUGUGUAAUUUUAGUGCUUCGUAUUUGAAUAAAAUUUGUUUCUGACUUGUGAAAGAUAUGUUAUAAGCCUUUCGACGGAAUAUGUAAAUUACAGUUGAUUGGGUCCAUAUAAUACCAUUUUGAGUUGCUAGAGUAAAGCUUAAAGAGCAGAGUUGCCAUAGCAGAGCUGCCAGAGCUAGAGCAGAGCUUCCAGAGCAGAGGGUCAGAGCCACGUUGCUAGAGUAGAGAUGCCAGAGCAGAGCUAGCCAGAGCAGAGAUGCCAGAGCCAGUGCUAACCAGAGCAGAGUUGCCAGAGCAGAGCUGACAGAGCCAGAGCUAACCAGAGCAGAGGGCCAGAGCCAAGUUGCCAGAGCAGAGAUGUCAGAGCAGAGAUUCCAGAGCUAAGUCGUUAAAGUCAGAGCCAGAGCCAAGUCGCCAGAUCCAGAGUCAAAGCUAAGUCAUUAGAGUCAGAGCCAGAGCCAAAUCGCCAGAUCCAGAGUCAGGGCUAAGCUAUUGGAGCCAGAGCGCGGAGCCACACGCUAGAGACAAUUCGCCAAAAGACGGAGCUACUUAGCAGAGCGGAGCCAAAUAGUAGAGGUCUGCCCCAAGGAAGGAAAUCCAGAGCUACUAGACAGAGCGGGAUGAUGAGGACAUAAUCCAGCUCUGUAAUUAGGGGACAACGACCUGACAAGUUAUAAUCUAAUAAUAGCCUUAAUUAGUUUAAUGACGAGCAUGCAGAAUAGAUGACCAGACGAAUUUACUACUUUACCCCAACUGUAAUGCCUAUAAAUACCUACGAUGAUGAAAUAAAGCACACGCUCUCUCUUUUACUGCUUUAAGAACUCUUCUCUUUCCUUUCUCUCUAGAGUAUGAACUAAUAAAAUUACAUAUAUAAAUAAAAUAUCUAAAUUGUUAGAGUUAUGUUUGUUAGAUAGUUGACAAUUGGAGUCAUGGUUGAAUAUAAUUUCAUAUUUGAUGAUGCUCUCUCAAACUCUAGAUGAGAUGAUGCUCAAAACUCCAGACGAGAUGACGCUCUUUCAAGUUUUAGACGAGAUGAUUCUCUUUCAAGUUUCAAACAAGAUGAUGCUCAGAAGUUAGAGGUGAUCUGUCAAGUUUGCGACGAGCUGAUGCCCACAACUUGGUUGGUCUUAAAACUCCAAAUGAUACGAUGUUCGAUAAAUCAGUUAUGGUCUUUUAAAUAUCAGGCGAUAUUAUUUUUAUAAUUAGUUAUGCUUUUAGAAGUUCGGAAUUAUAUGAUACCUAUGUCAAAUUUAUAUGUAUUUCUACUCUCUCUUUUUUUUUCUUACGCGUCAACUUUUUAUAAAAUUUCAUAUGAAAACUAAUGGGUAUUUUUAUGAUCUCAACAAAAUUAAUAAUUUAAUUGCUAAAAGUUGUUGACAUUAAUAUAAUUUAAAAUGUAAUACUAAUUUAAUUUAAUUUAAUUAAUAUAUAAUAAAUUACAUAAAAAAAUAUUUUAUAUAAUUAUCAUAAGAAUAACAUAAAAUAUAUAAAUUACAAGAAAAUAUGUACCCGUCGAAUUUCGACGGGUAAUACACUAGUAUAUAUAAUAUAAUAUGUUGUUUGGUACGAUAUAUUAAGAUUAUAUAAAAUUAAAAAUACUCCCUCCGUCCCAUGAAUCUUGAGUUACUUUCUUUUUUCGAUCGUCCCACGAAUCUUAAGUCAUUUCCUUAUAUGGUAAAAAAAGUUCUCUUUAUUCACUUUUUCACAUUUUCAACUACCACACUUAACACACUAAAAUCUAUUUUCUUAAUUCUCGUGCCGAAAAGAAUUGAUUCAAGAUUCGCGGGAUGAAGGGAGUAGUUAUAAUUAAUAUUUGUAUUACGUAUACCACCUCCGUAGGUGGUAUACAGAAUCCCUCAAAUCUGUAUAAUAUUUCCGAGCUUUUAAUCUAUAAAGUGUCGUGUGUUUCGUAUUACUUCUUAUCAAACAUGAUAUUAGAGUGUCAUAGAUAUAUUAUAUAAUCACCCAUAUCAAACGAGUCCAAAAGAUAACAUUUGUAGGGGUAGUGAUAGUAAAAAAAAAAAAGAUAAAAUAUAUUAUUAGUUAAAAAUAAAAUAAAAGUACAAUUUAUAAUUUUCUUAAUGAAUAAAAAAAAUAGAAAUAAAUAUAACUAUUUUUUUGUGAAGUGAAUAUAAGUAUACAAAUGUGAUAAUCUAGAAUGUCGGCCGACUUGUCUUUCAGUUUUCUACUAGCUUCGUUUUAUUUUUAUUUUAAAUUCCAAUUCCAAUAGUCAAACUUACAAUAGCAAGAUCUAUUCGAUAAAGAAAAACAAAAAAAACAAAAAAUCAACAUCAAAGAUUUAUUUUUCCAAUUUUCAUUUCCCUUCUCCUCGAGAUGGGAACACAAUGAUUAUAAAAUGUGGAAAAUCUAAAAAUUUCAAUUCAACCCAUUCGAAAAAAUAUUUGCAAAUGCAUCCAUCUUCUCCUUCGACAACGACAUGCCAAUCUCCAAACCGCCGUCGAAUUCUCUGGAUUUGCAGAGGGACAUCGAUCCAUCACCGUCAAUGGACACCGAUUCGAACUUGUUCGGAUUCCCCCAUCCGAAAUCGGCGUCGUACAGAUCGAAUUUCGGCGAUCCCGCCACCCCGAACAUACGUUUUCCGAUCAUCCCGCCGAACUUGGACAGCCACUCGUCGGCGUCUCUGAGAAAUUCUCCCUUCUUGUUCACUUUGUUUCCAAUCACGUCUCCGAUCAACUCGACGGCGAUCAGGAAUCCGUCGCCUCCUUUCAGUUCCGCGUGCGUCGACAUCACGGCGGCCAUGCCGACGCAGUUGCCGAAGUAGGCGGCGGGGACUGGCGGAUCCAUCCGCUGCCGCGAGUCCACAGCGAAGGCAAAGUACUCCGGCUCAUCGGCGGCGACUUUCUCGCCGGAUUCCGCCGCGGAUUUGACUAAGCUGGUCCAGACGUAGGCGCUCGUUAUCGUGAAGGACGAUAAGUGCGUUAGAUGCGGUUUCUUCGACUGCACGAAAUCCCUAAGUUUCUGAACAUCGCGCUUCUGCAGAAUAUACGUCGCUCGGACUUUGUUUAAGGGGAAUUUCAGCGGCAGGGAUAGAACUUUGGAAGUGCUCAUUUGAUUCCAGUAAUGAUUCAGCAAUCCGGAUUGAUCGCUCACUACGGAUCUGUCGUAGAGCGGGAGCGAAUCGGAUGAAGACAAAAUUCAUCGUCGCUCCCAAGCUUAGCAACUGAGCACCACGCUUUGAUGAAGCUCACGAUCGAGCUAGCAUCUCCGACGAUGUGAUGGUUGUUGAAUCCGACGCAAACGCCUGCAUCUGGAAACAGCGUUAUCUGCGCAGUGAAGAGAGGAAGUUUGUCAAAUUCUGACUCCGGCGACCUCUCCGGCGGAGGCAGUUCGGAGAAGAAAGCGUAGAACUCGUCGGCGACGCGCGGCUGGUUGCCUGUCAGGCGGUUGAGAUCGUGAGCUUCGGACGCCUCAGCGAUGGUGACUGAAACCGAGUCGCCGGGAACGUACCGGAGUUCGGG